AGUGAACGCUGGCGGUAGGCCUAACACAUGCAAGUCGAACGAUAGAAUAGUAAGAGCUUGCUCUUACGGGUGGCGAGUGGCGGAUGGGUGCGGACUACAUCGGAAUCUACUUUUUAGUGGGGGAUAACGUAGGGAAACUUACGCUAAUACCGCAUAAGUCCUACGGGUGAAAUCAGGUGAUCUUCGGACCUUGCGUGAUAGACUGAGCCGAUGUCGGAUUAGCUAGGUGGCGGGGUAAAGGCGUACCAAGGCGACGAUCCGUAGCUGCUCUGAGAGGAAGAUCAGCCACACUGGAACAGAGACACGGUGCACACUCUGACAGUGGGCAACAGUGGGAAAUAUUGGACGAUGCGCGCAAGCCGGAUCCAGCCAUACCGCGUGGAUGAAGAAGGCCUUCGGGUUGGAAAGCCCUUUUGUUGGUAAAGAAGUGCAGCAGUGUAAUACCCCACGGUUCUGACGGUACCCAAAGAAUAAGCACCGGCUAACUUCGUG
rnacentral:rRNA from 1 species